rnacentral:rRNA from 1 species
UUAACGGGAUGGCUUUUCAUUAGUGUAAAAAGCUUUUGGAAUAAGAGCUGGGCAAGACCGGUGCCAGCCGCCGCGGUAACACCGGCAGCUCUAGUGGUAGCAAUUUUUAUUGGGCCUAAAGCGUCCGUAGCCGGUUUAAUAAGUCUCUGGUGAAAUCCUGUAGCUUAACUAUGGGAAUUGCUGGAGAUACUAUUAGACUUGAGACCGGGAGAGGUUAGAGGUACUCCCAGGGUAGAGGUGAAAUUCUGUAAUCCUGGAGGACCGCCUGUUGCGAAGGCGUCUAACUGGAACGGUUCUGACGGUGAGGGACGAAAGUUAGGGGCGCGAACCGGAUUAGAUACCCGGGUAGUCCUAACUGUAAACGAUGCGGACUUGGUGUUGGGGUGGCUUUGAGCUGCUCCAGUGCCGAAGGGAAGCUGUUAAGUCCGCCGCCUGGGAAGUACGGUCGCAAGACUGAAACUUAA